AUGCGCAUUGGCGGGCGCGCAGGGCCGACCUCGGCGCCACCCCUCCCCCACGCCGCCGCUACGUUGCGGUGGCGACGACCCGACCGUUGUGGGGCGCCCCGGGCCCUGAGGUGGGACCCUUCCCUUUCAGCCCCGAGGUACCCGGCCUGGUGGCCCAGGACGUUCCCGUCGCAUGGCGGAGUGCUGCGGACGACGCCCAUGAAGCCCGUGGUCCUUCUAGUCGCGCUUUUGCUAUGGCCUUCGUCAGCGCCGGCGUUUCCGAGCAUUACUGUGUCUCGUGAUGAAGAACAAAACUUGAAUCAUUACGUACAAGUUUUAGAGAACCUAAUACUAAGUGUUCCCACUAGGGAACCAGGCCCUGAGAAAAAAUCAAAGUCUCCAAAAAAUCUUUAUUCUAUAGGAUCAAAGAGGUCAAAAUCUGAGGAGACAGUUACACCUUCAACUGAGAAUAAUGUUUUAAUCAAGGAUGUUAGUGCAGGAAGUACUCCUUUCUCUACUAGAGACUUCACAUCACCACCGGGAGUAGGGAAGAAACUAAUGACUGAAAAUACACCAUUCUGGUCAAUCAGACCAAACAACAUUUCUGUUGUUUUACAUGCGGAAGAACCUUAUGUUGAAAAAGAAGAACCAGAGCCAGAGCCAGAGCCAGAGCCAGAGCCAGAGCCAGAGACAGAGACAGUGACAGUUACAAAACGCAGCCGGACCUCAACGUUGUCACCACGUACUACACAAUUAUCUACUGCCACAUCAUCUACUGCCAAACUAUCUCCAUUUACAACUCUCAGUUCUACCAGCAGAUCUCAAAUGUACCUGUGGACAGAUUCAGAAGAUGUUCCCCAGCUCUCAGGUGACUCUGCAUCAAGCAGAUUUAAAUUCCCAAUAUAUGAACAACACUCAGACAAUAUGCGUAAUGAUAUCAUUUUGAGAAAAAUUUCAGAAAUAUAUGCACAAAUGCAACAGGCACCUCCUGGUGACAGCAAUAAUCCAGAAUAUAAAGAGUAUAUUAAAGCCUCUAAAGAGCUCCUGAAACGAAGCCUUGCUCUAGCAGAAGCAGCAGAAUAUAGAUUAGAAAAAAUGUAUACAUCCGAGGCAUUGGCAGAAGGACGAACCGGUAAUCAAAUUGUUGACAUUGAAACUGUUAUUAAUACGCUGUAUAAUUCUAGAUAUAAAUUACCGGAAUAUUUAGAUAUUAAAUAUGUUCCAGCUGAGAUGAGAGAAAAGGCUAAUACAGUAUUCACUACAUUGAAAAAUAUAUUAUGUGCAGGUCAAGUAGAAACUCAAAAUCUUAUUAAGAAGUUAUUAAGCAAUAAUAUAAAAAUGUUAAACCUACUUGAUAUUCCACGAUAAAGUUGGUUUAAGCAAACUGUAUUCUUUCACAGGAAAAUAAGCAUAUUAGUGAUUUCAAAGAUGUUUUAAAAUAUUUUUAUUAUAAUUUAAUGCACUAACAUCUUUAUAUGACAUGUUCUAAAAUUUUUCAUAUGCACAGAAAUCUAAUAAUUUAAAAUAAAAAUUUGGUUCAGGAGUUUGUAGUUUUUUUCUCAUUAAUUAAAAAAGCUAUGAAGAUCUAAUUUUUAAAACAUUAAAGUUGGGGAUGUAGCUCAGUGGUGCAGCACUGCCUAUCAAAUGUCUGAGGCCCUGGGUUCAAUCCCCCAGCACUGCUGUAAAAAAAAAGAAUCAUUGAUUUUACUUGAAUAGAUUAGCUAAAUUCACCCAUUUUAUGAGUUGUGACUACACUCCAUAUGUAGCUAGUUUGAAAUAAUUUUAUGUGUAUGGUUUUUAUUGCUCUUUCAGGGAGUAAUUCAGAGAAUCUCAGUUUUCUUUCUGGAUAGCACAGUUGGGACUCAUAUCAGAAUUACUUUUAUUUGGACAUAUAUGUGCCUCCUUUGAAAAAUGAUAUAGGACCCAUCCCUGUUUUUUUGUCGUCAAGUGCUUUUGGAGUAUCAAUGAAGGACCUGAAAUUUGUAAUGAAGUAAUUUUGACUUAUUUUCUCUAUUGGCUUAUUUGUGUACAUACACAUCAAAGCUUUGCAAAUGUUUUGUCAGGAAGUAUGAUUGACAUCGUUGAGGUCAACUGUUGAGGUCAUAGUAUUAUUAUGGUGCAGGUAAUUGUUUCAUUAUUUGACCAGUAUUAAUUCAAAUUCAUAUACUUAUUUCUUCAUCUAGCUAGUCAUUUGUGGUUUAAUCAAAAUUUAUUGAUUUUCUAAUAGGAUAAAUUUGCUAGACUUUGGAGAUAUAAUAAUGAAGACCUAUUUCCUUCUCUCUUUGAGAUUACAUUAUAGCAGGAAAUAUAAAUAUUAAGCAAAUAAUUUCAACAACUUGAAAAUUUCAGUUGUGGCAAGUUAUUAUGAAGGUAAGAUAUUUGACCUCAUCUAAACCAAGAAUAAUUGGAAAGUUACUCUGGGAAAAGAGGUAUUUAAGGUAAGGUCGAAAGUAGAGGGUGUGUUUACCGGUUAGGUUAAGGGAGCAUUCCAAGCCGUGGGAUGAGUGCAGGUGAAAGCUCCGGUCUGAGAAUGAGUGUGGUAGGUUCAAAAAGUACUUGGAGUAUGGGGAUGCAUCUUGGGAGAGCAUCCUGAAAUGGAGUGGGAUAUACACAGGGUCAGAGUAGACCCUGCAGGGCCUUGUAUGCAUGUUAGAUAUUUUAGCCUUUCUCCUAUGAUCAAUGAGAAUCUAUUAGUGGAUUUUAAGUGAAGAACUAGUAUGAUCAAAUAUUUUUGUUUAUUUUUUAAAAACUAGCUAAUUUUAGAAGUAGUCAUAAAUAGUCAUGCUUUGUGCACAGGCCAAAUUUAGCUGGAGUAGAUGGAAAGAAGCAGCAAUUAAAAGAAGAAUCAAGGGGCUGGGGAUAUAGCUCAGUUGGUAGAGUGCUUGUGUCACAUGCACAAGGCACUGAGUUCUAUCCCCAGAACCACAAAAAAAAAAAAAAAUCAGUAGAAUUUGAUGAUUAAAUGGACAUGUGUGAUUGAGGGAGUAGUGGGGUUCAAAAAUAAUUGCCACUAGCUGUAUUAUAAAAAGGAAUAUGUAGGUUUUAUUUCAUAAAACACUAUUUACUGUUGUUUAUUUUAAACAUGAUUUUACUAUUAAAAAUGUCAAACAUUUGCAAAAGUAAAUAAUGAUAUAAUGGACCCAUAUACCCAUCAUUCUGUUUCAAUAAUAUGUACUGUUGGCCAGUUUUCUGUCAUCUAUACCUCUGCUGCUUUGCUCUCUUCCUGUAUGCUGAAUUAAAUCCCAAAUACUUUAAUCAUUUCAUCUCUAAAUAUAAUGAUAUGAAUCUCUAUAAGCUUUUUAGAAUACAUAUAACAGUAUAAUCACAUAUAAAAAUUGUUUUUAAUAUCAAAUAUCUAGUCAAUGUUUAAAUUUUAAAAGUUAAAUUGGAAAUUUGGAGUUUCUUUGUAUGACUCAAGAACAAAUAAAUUUCACACAUUGAGAUUUGUUGAUUUGACUUGUAAAUCUCUUUUAAUCUACAAAUAUCCUUUCCCACUUCUUCCCCCGCCCUUGAAGUUUAUUGUUGAAGAAACUGCUUUUUGGGGGGGCCUACAUUUGUCCUGUUUCCUGGAGGAUGGAUUGUGCUGAUUGCAUAGUACUGUAGCAGAUUCUCUAGUCCUCUCUAUUUUCUGUAAAUGGGUAGUUUGAUUUAGAGAGCCUUCAUCAAACUGAGAGAGGGUAGAAUAAUAGGGAAGGAGGAAGAAAAGAUUCAGAUAAGAAUGGGCUUAUAGGUUUGGUAAAAACAAGUGAGAAAAUUCCAGAUUGUAGCUACUAUCAUUUUUCCAAUGAUGUAGAAAAGGAGGAUAUCAGUUGAGAAUGAGCUAAAAGGUUUGAAAGGGAAACAUAUGAAAGGUCUAAUACACAAUUAGACACUUAAGUAGUAGCUGUAUGUUACUUGCAGUUUUAGAGACUUUGUCUGAUUACAUAAUACUAGUGCAAUAUGAAGUAAUUAGAGAACAUUCAAAGUAUCUUUGGUCUGCUAGAGUGUAUAAAACUCUUUGAGAAAAUGUUUACAAUGUAUUAAAGCAUUGUAAAAUACUCUUAUAUGUUCAUGUUUUGGUGAGUUACAGUGUUUUGAGUUAAAACCAACUUUUAAUUGAUUUCAUGCAAUAAAAAAACUACUAGUUAUUUUAAAUCUCAUAAUAUUAAAAAAUUGCUCAUAAUGAAACCUCUAAUCCUUUACUUAGAGAAAGUUAUUUUUGAAUAAAAAUCUUGCCUUCAUCUGUAUUAAAAUAUCUGACUCAUGAAAUCUAAGUUCUUUUUAAGUAACCUUCUAAUAUCUAUUAAAUAAAGACAUAUAUUUUUAAAAAAGUAUCUUGCUAUGUUACUCAGGCUGGCCCUAAACUCUUGAGUUCAAGUGAUCCUUCCAUCUCAGCCUCCUAUCUAUCUAUCUGGGAUUACAUGUACCAGCCACUGUGCCCAGUCUAAAUGAAGAUCUUUGAAAAACUGAACAUGUUGAUUAAUUUUUUAAUAGAAUAUGUAU
rnacentral:lncRNA from 1 species